rnacentral:rRNA from 1 species
GAAGCUUUACUGUAUCUUGGAAUUGGGUUUGGUCUUUACUUGCGCAGGAUAGGUGGGAGGCUUUGAAGAUGAUCUCGCGGGAUCGUUGGAGCCACUGGUGAGAUACCACUCUUGUUAUGAUAAAAUCCUAACUUUGAACCGUUAUCCGGUCAGAGAACAGUUUCAGGUGGGCAGUUUGACUGGGGCGGUCGCCUCCUUAAAGGUAACGGAGGCGUGCAAAGGUUCCCUCAGGCUGGUUGGACAUCAGUCGUAGAGUGUAAAGGCAUAAGGGAGCUUGACUGCGAGACCAACAAGUCGAGCAGAGACGAAAGUCGGCCUUAGUGAUCCGGCGCUUCCGAGUGGAAGGGGCGUCGCUCAACGGAUAAAAGUUACUCUAGG